rnacentral:tRNA from 1 species
CGGCAGUUACUCAAGUGGUUUAAGAGGGAGGCCUUUCAAGCCUCUAGCAUACAGUGAUCUGUAUGGCGUGGGUUCGAGUCCCAUACUGUCGA